CAAUUUGUGUGAAAAGUUUUAAUAAAUAUAUCUCAUGAACCGUAAGUUUGCGCAACCUAAAUCUUUGCAAAACUCUUUCUUUUAUGUUAAAGUUUGGGCUAAAUUUUGUUUUCCUAAUGGUGAUGGGACAUCCAUUGAAUCAUUAAAAACAGUGAAUGCCCAGCAUAGGAUACUAUGUGAAAAUCAUUUGAAUGAAUCUUCAUUUACCAGCAGCGAUAGGAAAAGACUUAACAAGUUAGAUUAAGAGUGAAUAGAGGAGGAUAUAGACCAAUUAAAAAACAAACAUUGUAGUCCAUAUAGAGCAAGUUAUGACAUCCAAGAACCAUCAACUAGCAAAGGUAUUUUGUAGGACUUGGACGUGAAAAAGUUCAGUGAACUUACACCUCAAAAGCAAACGCUGUCUAAGAGAUGCAGAAAAAAUCUAUCUGAAAUAGUGAGGCUCUGAAAAAAGUUUCAAGGUUAUUUUGUCAGCUCUCUCAAGGCAUUAUUGAACAAAAUUCCAAUGGUAUGUGGAAUCAACAGCCCAGUAAUACAGACAGUAAAAGAAAUCACAAAAGACCAAGAUGUCAAUGAUAGUUUAUGUAAAAUGGCUUUUGAUGAAAUGUCAAUAAGAAAAAAUCUGACAUAUAACGUAAAACUCAAUGCUAAGGCCGUACUACUGUGAUAGCAAACCAUAGUCGAACUUUCAUGGUUAUCGGUGUUCGAAAAUGCUGGAAACAGCCAAUAGCAUUUUACUUCUCAGGAGAUUGUGACACAGCAGACAAGUCAGCAGCUCUUGUCGAGGAGGUACAGUAAAGUGGAGCCACAUAGAGGAGUUUUAUAAUAAAGAUCGC